rnacentral:pre_miRNA from 1 species
UGGACAGAUUAUUGUAUUCGAUUGUAUUCAAGGAGUGAAACAGGGGAUUACACUGUUUUUAAACGGAAAGUGAAUCAAUUAACAUAAUAGACUCCU